UACGUAGGGGGCAAGCGUUGUCCGGAAUCAUUGGGCGUAAAGAGCGUGUAGGCGGUUCAGUAAGUCCGCUGUGAAAGGCAAGGGCUCAACCCUUGAAUGCCGGUGGAUACUGUUGAACUAGAGUCCGGAAGAGGCGAGUGGAAUUCCUGGUGUAGCGGUGAAAUGCGCAGAUAUCAGGAGGAACACCGAUGGCGAAGGCAGCUCGCUGGGACGGUACUGACGCUGAGACGCGAAAGCGCGGGGAGCAAACAGG
rnacentral:rRNA from 1 species